UACAGAGGUCUCAAGCGUUGUUCGGAUUCAUUGGGCGUAAAGGGUGCGUAGGUGGCGCGCUAAGUCAGGUGUGAAAUUUCGGAGCUUAACUCCGAAACUGCAUUUGAUACUGGCGUGCUUGAGGACUGGAGAGGAGACCGGAAUUCAUGGUGUAGCAGUGAAAUGCGUAGAGAUCAUGAGGAAGACCAGUGGCGAAGGCGGGUCUCUGGACAGUUCCUGACACUGAGGCACGAAGGCCAGGGGAGCAAACGGG
rnacentral:rRNA from 1 species